CAGCCGCCGCGGGAACACGAAGGGGGCUAGCGUUGUUCGGGAUUACUGGGCGUAAAGCGCACGUAGGCGGAUAUUUAAGUCAGGGGUGAAAUCCCAGAGCUCAACUCUGGAACUGCCUUUGAUACUGGGUAUCUUGAGUAUGGAAGAGGUGAGUGGAAUUCCGAGUGUAGAGGCGAAAUUCGUAGAUAUUCGGAGGAACACCAGUGGCGAAGGCGGCUCACUGGUCCAUUACUGACGCUGAGGUGCGAAAGCGUGGGGAGCAAACAGGAUUAGAUACCCCCGUAGUCCCUGUCUCUUAUAC
rnacentral:rRNA from 1 species